ensembl:snRNA U4 U4 spliceosomal RNA
AGCUUUGCGCAGUGGCAGUAUUGUAGCCUAUGAGGUUUAUCCGAGGCGCGAUUAUUGCUAGUUGAAAACUUUACCCAAUACCCCGCCUUGACGACUUGAAAUAUAGUCGGCAAUGGCAAUUUUUGACGGUCUCUAAGGAGA